AUUGAACGCUGGCGGCAGGCCUAACACAUGCAAGUCGAGCGGAUGAAGGGAGCUUGCUCCUGGAUUCAGCGGCGGACGGGUGAGUAAUGCCUAGGAAUCUGCCUGGCAGUGGGGGAUAACGUCCGGAAACGGGCGCUAAUACCGCAUACGUCCUGAGGGAGAAAGUGGGGGAUCUUGGGACCUUACGAUCUCAGAUGAGCCAAGGUCGGAUUAGCUAGUUGGGGGGGUAAAGGCCUACAAAGGCGACGAUCCGUAACUGGUCUGAGAGGAUGAUCAGUCACACUGGAACUGAGACACGGUCCAGACUCCUACGGGAGGCAGCAGUGGGGAAUAUUGGACAAUGGGCGAAAGCCUGAUCCAGCCAUGCCGCGUGUGUGAAGAAGGUCUUCGGAUUGUAAAGCACUUUUAUUGGGGAGGAAGGGCAGUAAGUUAAUACCUUGCUGUUUUGACGUUACCAACAGAAUAAGCACCGGCUAACUUCGUG
rnacentral:rRNA from 1 species